rnacentral:tRNA from 1 species
GAGCAGGUAGCUCAGUAGAGUAAGCUCCCGCUUCCUACGCCGGAGAUGCGGGUUCGAAUCCCGGCGUUAAUAAUCA